UAUAGAUACAGGGAUUUGUCCCUGGCCUGUUGAAACUGUUCUUGAACAGUUUCCUGAUAUAAGGAUUGCCCACAUGGCACUCAGCGUUGAAGAAAAAGCUCAGAUCGUAACCGACUACCAGCAAGCUGUU
rfam:Pseudomonas fluorescens Pf-5, complete genome.